CGCUUCUCUGGAGGGUGUGGCGGAAACUUGAGGCUUGGAGUCCGCGGGACCGGAAGGGGCUCCGUAGCUCGGGGCAGGGUGGGCGCGAGAGAGCCUAGAAGCCCAUGUAGCCGCGAAUCCCGCAGCCCCAGUACACCUCCCUCCGUGCCUCCCCGCCUUUUCUGCAGAGCUCCGCCCUGGAGUGAAGGAGGAGCCGUCACCUGGAGCUCCGAAAAAAGCAGAAGAAGGCGCUUUUUAUUUAGCCAGUGUGACCCCGCCAGGGCCUUCUCGGUUGGAUAAAACUCUGCAAAGACAAUGUCUAGCACUUAUAUCUCCAGUAACUCCUGUCAAGGUUUAUUGUUGCUUGUUCAUCAUUGCAGUCCUGACUACAAGUGUGAUUGCACUUUCUAUUGUUUUGUCAGAAUUUCCUGAAAAGAUACAAAGGCCCUUCUGACCAUUGGAUUGGCCUUAGAAGAGAAUCAUCCCAUCGCAUUUGGAAAUGGACAGACAACAUGGAAUAUAAUAACAUUUUUCACACAUUUACAAAACAAUUUGGGAGGAGGCUGGAAAUCAUCUUGACUGAAGACCACCAAUGGCAGCAGUUCAUUUGGGUACAGCAGCAAGCAUCAGUUAAAUACCUAUCAACAUAGCUGGGCUUGGCUUGCUAUCAGAGGAAGUGGAGAAUGUGCCUUCCUGAAUGACAAUGGAGUCAACAGUGGCAGAAUCUACAUGAACAGAAAAUGGAUUUGUAGCAAGCCAAACAAUUAUGUCUACAGUUGCCAGUUAUGUCCCCACUGGGAUACUACCUAGUAGAGCUGUGAGAAGAGGGCCACCAUCCUCCAGACUCCAGAAUGGUGGAAUCAGCAGCAGCUUCCACCAUGCCCCUGGAAAAACUGCAAGUAACAGACCUGCACAUGUAUCCCCUACAUCUAAAAUAAAAGUUGGAAAAAAUGGAACUUUGAUGUUAAGAUGCACUGAUACAAAACUUAAAUUUUGGUCUCCUACAUUAAAACAAUAUGAGUCUCUUAAAAUAUUGAUUUGUUCUUAGUAAGAUUACAAGAGGCUUUGAUUUUUAAUUCUGCAAUGUUUCCUUAACAGCCAUUCUGAAUUACAAACUAAUUCCUAUUUCUGCCACAUUCCUUCCUGAGAACUGUCUAGUCCUGGUUUGGGAUUUAUCUUAAAGGUCUAGAAAGGCAACAUUUUACUUCAGCAAAACUUGAUUCUAUAUUGUUGUUUUUUCUUAAUGUGUCAAAAUUGUUUUGUUACUAGGAUUUCCUAUGUUGUUAUUAAAUGUAUUCCCCUGAUCAAGGUCACUGGCCUAGAAAACAAAGAUUCUGUGUUUUACCAAGAUAAUUCCCAGUGCUUCAUGGUGUCUUUAUUAGGCUUUGACUGCUUAGGGAAACUGAGCCUUAAAAGGGUAAAAGUUUUUCCAUCCAUGUAACUUUCUGAGGUCUUUAGGUUGUCACUCUGAUUAAAUGAGUAGUAUUCUUAGCAGUGACUUAUUAUCUGUUGAAGGAAGUAUUUUAAGCUUUUUGACAUCUUUGGCAGGUUUCUCUAGAAUCCAAAUCCUAAAUUAAGCCUUUUGGCCUAAAAAUGACUGGGAUUUUUCCAGGUGGACCCCCUAGAUAUGCUCCUCCAAAGGCUUGUCUUUCUUGUAGAGUUAUUAAAUGAUUAGGCUUAUUUGGCAAAUACUGCUAGAAGCAUUGUCAAAUAAGAAAUGGUGUUUUACCUUUCUUUAAGCUGUGUUUGUGUAAGUUCAUCAUUUAUAGAAAUGUGAAAUUUUAUGAGAUUCCUAAGAUACUGACAUGCUGAGAUACCUGUAAUAAUUGCAAUUUUUAUGUUGGAUGAUUGUAUGCCACAGAAGCACUUAAAUUUCCUGGUUAAUUGGUAACGUUAAUCAGAUCUUUACCUAUGGCUGUUCUGGGUUUUUGUCAUUCACAGUUAUUAUUUUAAUUUCUUCUUUGGAAGCGUUCGCAAUCAGCUAUAGUCCAAAAUUGCUAAUUAAGAUCAAGCAAAACAAAAUUAAUUACGUAAAAUUAAUUUAUAAGGAUGUUUUUAUGACGUAAAUGUUUUAUUUUCCAGAGCCAAGGAAAUUUUCUGUCACAAGCUAUCUACCGUUUGCAAUAAUUUGAUAAAUAAUCCUUUGUGAAC
rnacentral:lncRNA from 1 species